UACAUUGUGUCAUUUUUUGAGUUGAUUCUUAGCAACUACAAAAGCUUUGUUCUUUUACAAAUAUGUGCUCAUUCCUGUGUAAUUACUUCCACCAAGUAAUCAAAGUAUUCUCGUAAGCGUAGAAUCUGGCAGUCAAAAUCAUUC